UAUGAAAUUAUCUUCAUUCCACCAUUGAAAAUUGAGAAAAAAAAAAAAAUCAGCCAAAGACUGGAAAAAUGAAGAAAUUACGCUUACGUCCUAUUGUUCGAUUUGAUCGCUAGUACUUUUGUUUCAACAUUAAACAAGCAAAAGGUUGUUCUAAUAACUAAAUUAAAGUGUAUUUUGAGUUCAAUUGACUUUUUGUAAACGAAUUACGACGAUUCGACUUUUCUGCCGGAAUUUUAGCUACACAAAAAACUAUUUCCGAUCAGAUUUUUUUCGAUUUCAUAAUUAUCGUCUCGAAAUUCAGGUUCGUUUCAUAUAAUUUUUUUUAGAUAUCUUGAUUUCGGAGCACUCCCUGCAAUCGAUUCGGUUACACAUAAUUGUACCGAAAAUCAAGUUAAACCCCUAAUCUUGUGAAUAUUUCAAUUACAUUUCCAAAUAAAACUACACUUAAAACCAUAUGAAAUUAUCUUCAUUCCACCAUUGAAAAUUGAGAAAAAAAAAGAAUUUUUUUUUCAACCAAAGACGGGAAAAAUGAAGAAAUUACGCUUACGUCCUAUUGUUCGAUUUGAUCGCUAGUACUUUUGUUUCAAUAUUAAACAACCAAAAGGUUGUUCUAAUAACUAAAUUAAAGUGUAUUUUGAGUUCAAUUGACUUUUUGUAAACGAAUUACGACGAUUCGACUUUUCUGCCGGAAUUUUAGCUACACAAAAAACUGUUUCCGAUCAGAUUUUUUUCGAUUUCAUAAUAAUCGUAUCGAAAUUCUGGUUCGUUUCAUAUAAUUUUUUUUAGAUAUCUUGAUUUCGGAGCACUCCCUGCAAUCGAUUUGGUUACUCAUAAUUGUACAGAAAAUCAAGUUAAACCCCUAAUCUUGUGAAUAUUUCAAUUACUCUUCCAAAUAAAACUACACUUAAAACCAUAUGAAAUUAUCUUCAUUCCACCAUUGAAAAUUGACAAAAAAAAAAAAAU